AUUUUCUGAGGGGGGGAGGGUGUGCCUUUUAUUUCACAGGCCCAGGAGAGGGUCAUGAUUUUCUGAGUGGGGAGGGUGUGCCUUUUGUUUCACAGGCCCAGGACAGGGUCAUGAUUUUCUGAGGGGGAGGGUGUGCCUUUUGUUUCCCAGGCCAAGGAGAGGGUCAUGAUUUUCUGAGUGGGGAGGGUGUGCCUUUUGUUUCCCAGGCCAAGGAGAGGGUCAUGAUUUUCUGAGUGGGGAGGGUGUGCCUUUUGUUUCACAGGCCCAGGAGAGGGUCAUGAUUUUCUGAGUGGGGAGGGUGUGCCUUUUGUUUCACAGGCCCAGGAGAGGGUCAUGAUUUUCUGAGGGGGAGGGGUGUGCCUUUUGUUUCACAGGCCAAGGAGAGGGUCAUGAUUUUCUG
ensembl:lncRNA